GUGCAGACUUCCAGAAGGACUUUUUCAAAAAACUUAGCAGGGAAGAGAAGCCAAGAGAAUAAGGUACUAAAAUGAAAGGGAGACAGAACUGAGGAAGGGAUUCAGAUUUUUCAGGUGGGAGUGACAUGAGGAUGUUUCUAAGCUGAAAGGGAAAAGACAAUGAAACAGACGAAACGUUUGAGAAAGAGGCAGAUGGAAAAUAUAACGGAGCACAGUGAGUGUGGAAGGGAUGGGCUCUGGUGGCGGGACCCUGUCAGCCUCCACCUCCUAUCUCCGCAUUCUCUGAAGUGGGAGGGACAUAAAACGGGUGGAUUGGCGCCGCAGGAGAACAUAAUUUCCCAACAGACUAACAGAGGGAGGAGAGUAGAAGCCGGGAGAGUACUGGAGGUGUGGAAUCACUGCACUCGGGCCUGCUGCCUCCAGAACAGCGUAGGGCUGCUGGGCAGAGCGGAGGGUUUGGGCUGAAACUGGCAAUCAUAAGUCCUCCUGGUCACAGAGUAAAGGCCUCACAGAUUCCGAUUUAAGUGGUCCGGUUUUUGGCCUGGGCAUCGGAAAUUUUAAAAGCUGCCCUUGUGAUCGUCAUGCGCCACCAUGGUUGAAUUUGUGGAGACCAAAAGGAAAUAUUUCCUGGUGUGAGCAGGCAAGCUGAAACCAGGAUGAGGGUAGACGGAUCUUAUAAAAGCAUGGUGAUGCAGGGAGAACAGUGUUAUCACAGAGAAGGGACAUAGCGGAUCUCUGGCAACUUGCUGCACUGAUGGACAGUGACUGCAUUGGGGUAUGGGUGGGGACUUGAUAAUAUGGGUAAAUGUAGUAACCACACUGUUUUUUCAUGUGAAACCUUCAUAAGAGUGUAUAUCAAUCAUACCUUAAUAAAAAAUUAAAACAAAAAAAAA